GAGAGAGGUCUGCCACAACAAAGACUGCUAAUCUUUGCCCCUUUGGUUAAAUUCCAAAGCUCACUCG
rnacentral:tRNA from 1 species